rnacentral:rRNA from 1 species
AUUGAACGCUGGCGGCGUGCCUAACACAUGCAAGUCGAGCGGUAACAGGUGUAGCAAUACAUGCUGACGAGCGGCGGACGGGUGAGUAACGCUUGGGAAUCUGCCUAUUAGUGGGGGACAACCCGGGGAAACUCGGGCUAAUACCGCAUACGCACUACGGUGGAAAGCCGGGGACCGCAAGGCCUGGCGCUAACAGAUGAGCCCAAGUCGGAUUAGCUAGUUGGUAGGGUAACGGCCACCAAGGCGACGAUCCGUAACUGGUCUGAGAGGACGACCAGUCACACCGGAACUGAGACACGGUCCGGACUCCUACGGGAGGCAGCAGUGGGGAAUAUUGGACAAUGGGCGAAAGCCUGAUCCAGCGACGCCGCGUGGGUGAAGAAGGCCUGCGGGUUGUAAAGCCCUUUCAGUGGGGAAGAAAAGCCUCGAGCUAACACCUCGGGGUCUUGACGUAACCCAUAGAAGAAGCACCGGCUAACUCUGUGCCAGCCGUCGCCGUAAU